UCCCGCCUGCCCAGUGACUCUUUAAACGGCCGCGGUAUCCUAACCGUGCAAAGGUAGCAUAAUCACUUGUCCCCUAAAUAGGGACUAGAAUGAACGGCUAAAUGAGGACAAAACUGUCUCUUACGGACCAACCAAUGAAAUUGAUCUUCCAGUACAAAAGCUGGAAUAAACCCAUAAGACGAGAAGACCCUGUGGAGCUUUAAAACCAAAACCACCAAACAUGUUUCUUGGUUUUUUAGUUGGGGCGACUUUGGAGAAAAAAUAAUCCUCCAAACUAUAAACCCAUUUAUUAAGAAUAACACAUCAAAAAUAAUUAAAUAGACCCAGCAACAUUAUGUUGUCUGACCAAUGAACCAAGUUACCCCAGGGAUAACAGCGCCAUCCUCUUCUAGAGUCCCUAUCGACAAGGGGGUUUACGACCUCGAUGUUGGAUCAGGACACCCCUAUAGUGCAGCCGCUUUAAAAGGUUCGUUUGUUCAACGAUUAAAGUCCUACGUGAU
rnacentral:rRNA from 1 species